rnacentral:rRNA from 1 species
AGCGAACGCUGGCGGCGUGCCUAACACAUGCAAGUCGAACGUGAAAUGUAGCAAUACAAAGUAAAGUGGCGCACGGGUGAGUAACACGUGGGUAAUCUACCAAAGAGUCUGGAAUAACCUGCCGAAAGGCGGGCUAAUACUAGAUAGAGCGAUGGAGGUCGUGAAGAUCUCUUCGGGAAAGGGGGCGUAAGCUCUCGCUUUUUGAUGAGCCUGCGUCUGAUUAGCUAGUUGGUGGGGUAAAGCUUACCAAGGCGAUGAUCAGUAGCUGGUCUGAGAGGAUGAUCAGCCACACUGGAACUGAACACGGUCCAGACUCCUACGGGAGGCAGCAGUGGGGAAUCUUGCGCAAUGGACGAAAGUCUGACGCAGCCACGCCGCGUGAGUGAAGAAGGCC